GAGUGUAAUAUAUUGUUUCACUUGAUAAAAUAAAUGACAAUCUAAAGAAAUAAAAAAUUAUUAAUUUAUAUUCUUUACUGAAAAGUUGCAAGACUUUCUUUUUAACUCAAAUAUAUCUAAUGGUAGAUAUUAACACAUAAAGAUCAUUGGUCUAUGAUUCUGAUCAGCAGGAGUUUGGAAAUAUUUGGAUCCUCUUGGGGUUUGAAACUUGAAUACCCUAUGAAGGAGAUUUGAUCUUAGAUCUCAAGAAUCCAAGAUCAAAUCAGAAUCUAACUCCACAAUGCUAAACAAUGCAACAAGUUCCGUGCCACCUCCCACGCCCUCCUAUUCCUCCCUCCCUCUCCAAAAAAUUUCUUAAAGCUUCCAAAAGAUGGAUGCUUGCACAUAUAUAUAUAGAUCUAUAGGUAUGAUGCUGCUCUUUUAAAGAAUAUAUGUUUAAUACUUCUUACAAUUCAAAUAAAUAUUUAAAUAAAUGAUUGACAACUUAUUAUUAUUGGACAUUUAAUAUCAGCCUGUGGGUUACUUCCAGCCAAAUUUACAAAUUGACCUCCAUUCUGGAUUGCCUUCAGGUGGAAAUGAGGUGUCUUUGCUUCAGUUUCAGAAUUUUGGCCUGAACUUUACAUUCAUGAUUUGACAUUCAAUUUUGUGAUGUCAAACUUCUGAGCUCCAUCACCCCUAGACACCUGUUUGAGUAAAAAACUAGUGAAAAUGAUUUAUUUAUUUUUCCUUUGCUUUUUAAUGGUUUUCUUAUUUAGAAAAUAAGUCUUUUGUUUUAUAAUCAGUUAUUAUCUGUAAUUAUAUUUGUUAUCUGCGUAAUUGUGUAUCAUUUCGUUUGCAGGCAUUCUCCUUCCUGUUGCAUUUUCUGUACCAGCAGUGAGUUCUGCCUGUUCUCAUGCCCAUUCCACGUUUUUUACCAUCUUAUCGGCUAUGGUAUAUCUAGAGGCAGAAUUUUAGUGGAAUAAUAACUACCAUGCUUUACAUGGUCCACAUAUCUCAAGAGAAAAGCAAUGUCAGCCCAAAUCAGGGGGUACAUAAAUUCAAACACGUUAGACCCAUUGCUUGUUUUUUGUAGCAUAUCGUCUCAUGAAACCAAGUUUUUGAGGAUGAGAGAGGCAUGUAAAGGUCUACUGGCCUUUUUUCUGAAUGUAUUAAUCUUUUAGGGGGUCCUGUGCCUUCUGUUGUAAAACUUCUGACUCGGUCUGAAAUUUAUAUGGCAGUGACGGUGCUUCUAUGAAACCUGUGUGUUCUUCGCAUGGAUUGUCAGAUUUAGUACCAUUUGAACUGAAACCGUGCAACUUUAUAUUAUUAGUCCCACUCAGACAAGUGAUGCCCAGAAGAGCUAUCACUUCAAAUUUGUCAGCUGAUAGCCCAAUCACGAAUUUAAUCAAUUCUUUACUCCAUAUCUUCAAAACUCUGAAUCAAUAAUGGCCUCCCUUGGAGAUGUUUGGAUUGAGGUAUACACUUCCAUUUGGUUGGAGAUAAAUACUCAUGUUAGAGAUAACAGAAGCGUUCAAACUUUCGCUCUUCCUAGUUAAUUGAGUUGUAAUAUUAUUUGACAGUUGCUCUGCGUACUUAAUUGAGUUGUUAAUGCUUGGCUUAAAACGUUAUUACAUUGAUAUGGGAUAAAGUCAUGAUCCUAGAAAUUAUAAUUCAAUUGCCAACAGAAUUGCUAGCUAGGGCAAAUUUUUCUUUUUUUGUGUGAUGGGCACCCAGCGCAACAUUAGAUAAGAUUGCAGUCUGCUUGACACUUCACUGCUGAAGGCAUUUGAUACGAGGAAUAACUUGGUUUGGUGGAACGAACCUCAGUUUAAUUUCCAUGCCUCGUCACUUUGCUGCUUUUGCACAACCUAAGGCAGUCUUAUGAUUGAUCAUGCCUUGUGGUCUGAUGCUAAUGCUUCAUGUUCCCAGCUUUGGCGGAACCGAAGUAAUCUUUUUCAUUUCCCUCUCUUUAUUAAAAUAUAGAAAUGGCAAUUAUAUUAACCUAUGCAUGGGCAGGAUCAUCUGCAUUAUUUUUUUUCAUAAAUCAAAUGACUAAUUUAAUCCUAAGAUAACCAACAUCGGCUUUUGCACUUUCUUGAGCACAAACCAUAAGCUAAGUGAAACGUUUUUAGCUAAUUGGUGGGGUCUUUCACACCUUUUUGGAGGGCUUGUUAUAAAACUGAUUCCCAUGUUUAAAUAUAUGCAAUCUAAACCGAAGUACCCACUAAAUCAUGGUUUUUCUUUUGUUUCAUCAUCUUUCCAAGAACAUAAUUACUAUGACAGUGUCAAAUGACAUUUCCAAAGGCAAAUUAUUUUCUUCAUGGAACAUCUCCCUUUGUAUAACAGUAAUGGAGAUGCAAUUAGCACGACAAGCACAUUACUUUAAAGUUACUGUGCAUCUAGUGAACUCGUAAAAAUGCCAUUGAAAUCCUUGCUCAUGCUGGUUGCACUCACUAAAAGCUAUUAGUUAAUUUUCGUAACCCUCUGUCUUGCUUCCCAUCCUCCUCGCCCCUCUCCUUACAAUGAUCUUCGCUUAUACUAAAGCCUGCUUCUCGUUCCAUGCAGAAAGAAAAUAUAUUGCCGUGAUGUGCACCCUUACUCGUGUCAUAUAAGCAUAAUGAAUUCAUUAAGACUCGUUUCAUUUGUUUCUUUUAUAAAUUAUUGAGUAUUAUUAUUGUUAUAAUUAUCAUAAUUAUAUUUAUGAUCAUCGUUACCGUCAGUCAUCGAACUCAACGAGAAAAUUUGACUCCAACAAACAUUUUAACCUUCAAUAUCAGCAGGCCCCGAAUCUAGGCAAGCUAGGAAAACAUUAUAAAACUUAGGAUACAAAAGAAAAAAAAAAACAAAAAACAAAAGGGUAGAUUUAAUAAAAAAUUGAAAACAAAGGGCCGAGAGAGAAGAGGGGGGAAAACAAGAGGGAGGGAGAUAGCGAACGUUUUUUUAUUUUGGUUUUUUUGGGCUCUUCAGCGAUCGAUAGAGCGGGAGCAAGAGAACGAGAGCUCAAUCCAAUCCUACAGGAUACAGCCCUCCACGAGCGAGGAAGAGAGUCGACGUAGCGAAGAGAGGCCGAGGAGAGCCAAAGCGAAGCAGAAGCAAAGAGGAGAGAGAUUCAGAGAAUUCGAGCUCUCUCUCUGUGCUCGGUGAUGCACUUCGAAUCCCUGUCUCCCCCCCCCCCCAGUUCGAGCUCCCAAAGGUCAGUUUAACCCCUCCCUCCCCCUCCUCUCUUCCAAAGGUUGGGCCUUUCCCUUCUAUUCUCUCACGCUUUGAUUCCUCCAAUCCCGCAUCUGGCCGCGCUGACCGCCGCGAAUCCAACCCGUUCGGUGGAUUCCCGAUCGCAGAGCGCAGAGUCGAUCUAUGGAAGCUCCUUCACGAGCAACUCGUUGGUAAAAUGAGAGCUUUUUCGAGCUCCGGGCUGCCAAGUUUGGUGCUUCUCUAGCUGGUCCCGUUGCCAUUAGGGUUUGGAUCCCGCUGGAUCGGAAUUCGUGUUUCCGGCCAGGUUUUUGGAGGAGUUCGAGCUUGAGUUCUUUGCUCACGGGCGUGGGCCUUUCUUUUCCGGCUUAACCUAGGGUUUAUGCCCCAGAUAUGAGAUUUUGGCCUGCAUUGUUCUGGUCGAGCGGUAGGAUAUUGGUUUUAGCUCAUUUACUUGUAGAGGGAAAAGCAAUACCCUCACUUUGAAUUGGGAUAGAGGAUAUAGAGAACCAAAGGAGAACCCUAAUUCUGUUGAUCUGGUGAAUUGUAUGGCUGCCUUGCAUUGAGAGAUGCUGCCACCCACCGCCCGGAUUAAUCUCAGCAGCCUCAAGUCCCAGAUAGCCAAGAAGCUCGGCCCCAAGCGAGCCCAGCAGUAUUUUGGUUACCUGAAACAGUUGCUGGCGCAGAAGCUGAGCAAGCUAGAGUUCAACAAGUUCUGCCUUCUGAUCCUCGGACGCGAGAACAUCCCAUUGCACAACCAGCUCAUCCGCUCGAUCUUUAAGAAUGCGUUUAAUGCCAGGACCCCAGCCCAUGUUAAGGUCACCACGAAGCCCAUUGGAAGUACAGGGAAGAUAUCCCCUCAAGGAGAUGGUAGAAUCAAUGGGAAACCUGCUUCUUCAACUCCACUGCCGACUAUUUGGUCCAACGGGGACAUCUUGCCACCAUCACCUCGCAAGGUCAGGUCCUGCAUUCGAGACUGGAGGAUCAAAGACCGCCCAAGUCCUCUUGGACCUAGUGGGAGCGCAGAUGUUGCAGCUCACCAAUCUUUAUUACCUUUUGAUGAAGAAACCAUCAGGGUGAAUGGCGUUUUGGAUCCUUGUGAUUUGAAGAGACCCAUGCAGGAUCAUCAAGGUGGGCCUGCAGAGCAGCCAGCAAAGAGACCUCGGGUGGAGAAUUUGUCACCGCAUGAUCGGGCCUCUGUACACAGCAAGGGUCUGGUUGAAGUGGGUGUUGUGGAAGAUGGGGAAGAGGUUGAACUGAGUAAUGAUUUGAACUCCAAGAGAGGUCCUCUUCAGGCUCCACUUGGGAUACCAUUCUGUCCUGCUAGUGUCGGUGGGGCACGGAGAUCUGUACCAUUGGUAACUAUUUCUAGCACUGAUAGCUUUAGAAGUAACUGUGAUGAUGGUGAGCUAUGUCAUACUGAGGCCUUGAAGAAAUGGAUGGAAAAAAUAUCCGAGUCACAGGGCUUGGGAGGGGUGACGAUGGAAUGUGCUAGUUUAUUGAAUAAUGGGUUACAUGCUUACCUGAAGAACCUGAUUAUGUCAUGUGUUGACCUAGUAGGAGCAAGGUCAGGACGUGAAUCAAUAAAGCAUCCGGUCUACAAGCAGCAACCAGUAGUGAAGCCUAUCAAUGGCUUUUGGCCAGGAAAUCACAUGCAUGUACAGAGUAGUGGUGGGUCUUCAGAGGGUACACAUGGUUUAAGAAACUUGUCUUCAAUAUCUCUACAGGAUUUUAGGAUAGCUAUGGAGCUAAAUCCACUACAGCUUGGUGAAGACUGGCCAUUGCUGCUUGAGAAAAUAUGCCUCCAUUCAUUUGAAGAAUAAUGCAGAUCCUUGUCAAGUUUUCUGGAUCUAUGAAAUUGUUGUUGGGUAGAUCUCUAACAGCCUCAAGGGGUGGCCUUUGGGCCAGUCUGAACAUAACUGAACUCAGAUUAAUGGCUCUCCACUCUGGUAAAGUUCAUCAGAGGUUAGAAACAAAAUUGCUGUAAAGUCAUGGGCCUGCUUGAAGAUCAUAUUUCUUUAAUCAGUCCAUCUGAAGGAAUGGUUUUUCUUUUUCUUUUUUUAAAAAAAAUUAUCCCCUUGUUUGGUGCAUUCGUUGUAUGUGUUAGCAUCCAUGAGGGGGAUAUCUUCCACCAUAUCCAGAGAUCUCAAGCCAUUACAUAAUUUGCAGCAAAUGUGGAGGAAAUCAGUUUUGCAGGAGUACUGAUGUGUUACUUGGUAUAGGUACAAUCAUGCCACGUAGGUCUUGCGGGGUCUUGGUAUAUGUAUUAUUAAUUGCAUAAAUUGCUUGGGUAGUUUUAAUAGUGAUAGCCUCUUACCUUUUCAUGGAUUGUUUCAGAGGAUUAAAUUUGAAUUAUCUAAUCAAGUGAUACAUAAGAAUUCGAGUAUGUGGAAGAAUGCUAUGUAUGUUUUCAGCUUUCAAUUUUAUAUAAUUGCCUUCUUUCUUCAAUUCUUCUAGGCUCUUAACUGACAUGUUUCUGUAGCAUAUGUUGAGAUGUUUUGGAUGUGUAGCAUCUUUAGGGAAUAUAUGAUUUUUUAAAUAAAAUUACUCACUAUUUCAUAUUUUGACUUCCUCUCUGCUGAUGGGUAUUAUGUAUUAAGAAUCAUAACAAGUUUCUUGGGUUUGUGUUGUUGUUGUGGAAACUUCUAUAUUGUCAUAUAUUUUUCAACAUUUGAGAGCAUUUAAAGAAGUUAACUCACAAAAUUCAUCGUGGUGGCAAUAUCAAUCCAUGGAAGUGCCUUACAAAGAGUAUAGCUUUAAUAAUGGUGAAGAAACAUAUUUUGUACAGUCAAUUCUCCCUUUGGUUUACCCAAAUAAUCUUAUAUCAUCCACGACAUGCAUAGCUGUAUGCACUUUAACAUAGAUGAUGAAUCAGAAAACCCUGAUAUGCUAAUUUGGCUGCCCAUCUUUAAACAUUAUUAUACAAUGUUACCAAUAGCUGUGUCUAUCAUCCAAGUAAUGUCAUAUGUUUAUCAUUUCAGGGCUGUAACUUGGUACAUUUCUGUACAAUCAAUACCCAAAAAUAUACUCUAACCAUAAUUGUUGCUCGAUUGAGUGAAUUAUAAUAUGCAAGAUGCAGAAAACCUUUCAAAGAUACUCUAUGUGAGAGCUAGGUAGAGUUUGAUUUUUCUGUUGUAAAACUCGUAUACAAUAUUUACUCAAAAAAAACAUAUUUUAUAUGAACUGUUAAAAACUUAAAUUGGAAUAACUUAUUAAUGCUAAUGCGUAUUAUAAAAUGUAUGAGCUUUAGUUUUAUUAAGAAUGCACAUAAGUGCCAAAAUAUAUGUGAAAAUACAUACGUAUACAGGUAGAUUCUUGCACAUAAAUUCACAUACACAUNNNNNNNNNNNNNNNNNNNNACUCUCUCUCUCUCUCUCUCUCUCUAUAUAUAUAUAUAUAUAUAUAUAUAUAUAUAUAUGAACCAGGGUUAACAAUAAAUUUUAGAUGCAGUUUAUAUAAUCAAAUCAAAAUGGUGCAUCGCACAUAAUCAAAUGAAGGUCAAAAAAAAAAAUGAAUAAUAUCUUCAUUUUUUAUUUAAUGUACUAUUUCUUGGGGAUUUUUAGUUUCUUUUGGCCAAGAAUAACAUUGGUCACUGAAUUUGCCAUAUUGCUAUGCUUAAUGUAUCAAAUAUCAAAUCAUGAAAUGAUAUGGAGCAGUUUUGUGAGUUAUAAUUCACAGUAUUGGUUUCUUUUUUUAAAAAAAAAUUAAACCAUGUUUUCAUGCCAUAUUGUUUAUGCAUGUUAUGAAUAAACUAUAAUUGUAUCUAACCUAAACAUCUCAAACUGAUACUGCUAUAUAAGAUCUUAAUGUUUACACCUUAAACAAUACCUUUGAGACAGAGAAAAGUGUCACAAUUAGCUUUCUGAAACAGAAAAAAGGGUGCUAAUAUAGACUCUAAAUGAGUCAGGAGAAUCAUGUUGGGAGAUUGGGAAAAAAGUUGAGGACUAGAGAUAAAGGGAUUUGAUGAUGUUCAGAGCCUUUUCAUGAAUGUUCUUAAGGGCUUAGAGUGAGAUAACAUAGAUGAGGAGAGAGUACAGCUAGAAGAACCCUGACAGAGAAGGAAAAUGAUGGUCAUUGGGCAACAUUAAAGAACCCACGUAUUGCACUUAGGCUUGAAGUGUUUGCACUUUAAAAGCAUGGAACCACAUGAUGUAGAAAAGAGAUAAAACCCUCACUUUAUUGCUCAAACUUUGAAGUGUAUUGCAAUAGAGUGUUCCUUAUAUCAGCCAUCAUAUGCUUCUUUUAUCUUUACAGUACAACAUACAUAAAAGGUUUUCCUCCUUUCUCUUAAAGAAACAAGCAACAGUUUAUGUGAAAAGGAAAAAAAAUUCUUUCUGUAAAAAGAAAAUUAAGGGCUCCUACAACAAAAAAACAAAGUUAGCUGGUGGAUUUCUAAAGGACUAACACAUGAAAGAGAAGAUUUUGAAGCAAGCAACUUGCAUGUUUUGAAACCUUAUGAAAUAAAAUAUAUUAUUGAAUCCAAAAAACUUUUCUGGGCAAAAGCCUAGUGAUUUAAGACUUUCCUAACUCAUGUUUAACCAUAAUAUAAAUCCACAAGUUCAGGAUGAGAGUCGCCAUAAUAUGAACUAAUAUUUGCUAUUAAAUUGUCACCAAAUAUGAAAAAGAAUAUAUUCAGUCAGCAUAAUGAUUCUUCAUAGGUAGGUAGGUAGGUAUGUUGGAACUACAUCAAUAUCAUUUCAGAGUGGUUCUCGGGAUUCCAGUUGAGAAUGAGAUAUACCCAUAACCAAACUGAACAAAAUCAGGAUCUGCAUCUGGUUAUUCUAUUAGUGUCAGUUUUCUCGGUGUUGUUUGUAGUCUUGACACUACUAACUGGAUACUGCAUAAUGGAAAUUUUGUUGCUUUCUGACACAUGCAUUGAAAAGGUACACGAAUUUUCAAUUGAAGAGCAGGAUAUUGUUAUUUAGUACAUCAAAGAUUGGUGCAGUAGGUCAAUGAGCUUGCUGAAAAAGGAACUUGGGAGACCAAUCAUGUUAUUCAAUAUUUACCAUCUCACAAUUUCCAUCUGGUGACUUUACCAACCGUGAGUCUUUCUUUGACUGCAGCCCUGUUUAUAUAAUAAAACUCUUUUAUUUGCCUCUCCUAUGUUUUACUUGGUUACUUUGCAACUCAUAUGCAUUCUAAGCUUGCAAUUUUAUUUGCACCUUUUUUUUUUCUUUUUUUGUGAAUUGAAACUCAAGGGAGGAUGAACUUUGUUGAUACUUUAAUUUUCUAGGAAAUUCAUUCUUUUGGUUUCUAUUUAUUUUCUUAGUGCCAUAUUCUUGAUGGUACUUGUGCAAUCAGAGGAAUGCUGACACAUAUCGAAGAAUACCUAUCUUUGUAGUAUGAUAUCUGUUGAAAUAUGUAAUAAAUGGUUGCAAUUACCUCUGAUGUUGUCUCUAACUUACCUUCUUUUGGACGAGUCAUGCAUCAGGACCUGCUGAUGAUUGUUGGUAGAAAUUGAUAUUAAUUUGAUAAUGUUCAUUUGAAACUGUAUAUGUAGCAUUUCAUUCUAAUUAUAAAGCAAGAGUUUGGAACCUUGUUCGAUGCCUAAGAAGUUGUUUUUGAUUCCACCAAAAAACAAAAGAACUUGUAUUCAAUUGAGAGCACUCCUAGUCAUAUUUCGAUUGGAAUAAAAUGCAAAAGAAAAUUUUCCUAUUUCUGUUCUCUGCCAUAUGACUUCAAGGUUUAUAUCUCGAAAUAGUGUUCUGGUUUGUCACAAGGGGAUGUGCCCAUGAGUACGAUUUAGAUCGGCUAAAUAUGUUGGCUGUUGUUUUGAAUCUUGUCAUCCUUUGGUUUUCUUUUUCUUCUACUGGUCUCUUUUCCUUGGUAUUUUGGUUUAUUAUCAUUCUAGUUAUCUAUUCUAAUGAAGUAGAGAAUUUGCAUUAUUUUCAUCUUUGUGUUUUCCUAAUCAAGGGUGUUGGUUAUAUUAUUUUUUUUCAUAUAUCAAAUCUUCAGCUUCAUUGAGUCUGUUGACUUCAUUUGCUUUGAGCACAUUUUUUGGGUAAGUUUUCUUUUAUUAUCUUUAAAUUUUUGUAUCUCUUCUUUGUCUUUUAUUUUCUUAUGUAGAAGAGGGUUUUGUCAAGGAAGACCUUUAAUACCACAUUAUUUCCAAUGGCAAUUAUUUGCUCUAUUGGAAUUUUACGCUAUGUUGGAAAAAAUGGAAGAAACUUUUCAUUCUUUUUUUUGGAUAAGGCAGAGCACUCAUGCAAAUAUAGUAUGAAUACAAUCAAGAGAAUCAGAAAAUAAAAUAUCACAGAAUGGCACCGGAGCCACCCCAUCAUCGGUCCACAAUAUAUCUCCUGAAUACUCUGCAACAAAGGAGGCAAUCUAGUUGGCGGCACUGUUUGCCUCCUGAUAGACAUGCCUAACAUCCAAAGAAACACACCCUCUCAGCAAUUUUCAGAUAUCAUGAAGGAGCGGAUGCAUGGCAGCAGGCCUCAUCUGCCCUUGAAUCCAACCCCCCGUUAUGGUUGAAUCCCCCUCGGUGAUAAGGUGGUUGGCCCCCAAGGUCAACCUCACCUACGAAAUGCCCGCCUAGACUGCUAAUAGCUUAAUUCUCGGGAUGGUGGCAUCAAAGAGAUGGCUCCCUCCAACAGCCACCACCCUCGAGUCUGGUCCGUGAAUCAUGAACCUAGCUCCACUGCUGCCACUUACAUUGCCAUUGAAGUUGAUCUUAAAGAGGUUUGAGGGGAGAGGCUCCUAGAUAAUGAAAAUCAAAUGGACCACUGCAUGAACGCAGAGGGAGUCCUAGGUGACCGUCUAACAAGGCCAAAGCAAUUGAUGAUGGGUGAAUGAUCUUGGCAAUCUGCCUCAGAGCUCUCUCCAAGACGAACAUCAUAGGCUGCCUCCUCGACUCAAACAAAUGCUGUUCCUAGUUAGCCAAAUGUGGUAAGCAAUAUAGAUAGCUUGAAUAUCGGAUAGUUUAGAAACCUUGGUAGUAGCACUCCAUCGCAAGGCCUCAAGAAACGUUUGCACCGGUGUUGUUGACUAGGUAAUCACUGGAAGGAAGCUGGUUAGAUGCUAAACUUCUACAGCACUUGGACACUGAAACAAAACAUGCCCCACCAUUUCAUCAUCCCUCCUACAAUAAGGAUAAAUGGAUGAAAGGUUCAUGCCUCUGUCCCUCAGCACCAUUCUAGUAUGGAGGGGAUCCUAUGCGACCUACCAAACAAAUAAGCUAACUCUUGCAUAUACCUCGAGUCUCCAUAUUCAAGCACCGUCUAGCCUCCUAAUCGGCUCCCACCUAUAUAGAUCAUAGAGAUCUCUAACUGCCAUUAUCGGACUACAAGACAAUCUUUAAACCCUCACCUCUAGACAAAGGCAGGCCGGGCCCGGCCCAGGCCCACCGGGCCUGAGGCUAAACGGGCCAUGCCAGGCACCGCACGAUUAGCACCAAGCCUCAGUCCGGCACGGCCCUAGGCUCGGUUGAUGGCGGGCCGUGCCUGGCACGGCUCGGCCCGUGGGCCUUUUUUUUUAAAAAAAAAUUGCAAACGGGCCGUGCCUGGCACGGCCUGUUUGUGCCCUCUAGCACGGCCCGUUUGAGGCUGUCACGGGUCGGGCUUGGCACGGCUCGGCCCAGGUCCGUUUCAGUCCAUAAUGGUCAAAAAACGGUUAUUUUUCGAUUUUUUUACCUUUUUAUCUCUCUCAACAGCCAUAAAACGGCUAUUUUGAGGGAUAUUUUGAAAAAAAAAUAUGGAUUGCUAUAAAUAGCCUCCUCUCUCAUUCUUACCACACCAAAUCUACUCUUCUUCUUUUUCUGCUACCAUUAUUUCUCUCUUCUAGCAAUAUUACAAGUGUUCUAGCAAUUUAAUUUUUAGUUUGUAUUUAGCAAGAGUUCAAGUACUACACAAGAAGAGGUCCUUGCUGAGGAGCACAAAAGGAGGUCCUUGUCGAGGAGUACAAGAGGAAGCUCACAAAUCUCGGUGCUGUCUCUAUUCAAUUCCUCCACCUCUACUCAAUUCCUCUAUCUUCGGUUAGUUUUUAUUUUUUGAUUCAUAAUUUUAGAAAUGACAUCUUACGAUGAGAGUCAUUUUGGUGUUCCUCCUAUUUUCGAGGGAGAGAAAACUAAUCCCAUUGCUCCUACUCCCUUUGAAACUACUCAAGGUCAAACCUCUUUCUGUAAGAGGACUAGUGCAGUUUGGGAGGAUUUUGAAAGAGUUCUUGUUGACGGAGUCUGGAAAGCAAAAAGUAAAAAAUAUGUUAAAUUUUAUAGUUGUGCCAGUAGUAGGAGAACUGGCCAUUUGAGAAGAUAUCAAAAGAGUCAUAAGAUGAGUGACUCUAAUCUCCAAAGUACCUUCCAUGUACUAAGGGGAUCUCUGGUAGGUAAUUUUAUAUAUAAUCAUGAAAAUCAAAAAAAAUACUAGUUAUAUAGAUAGUUAGGGAUGAACUGCCUUUUAGUUUAUGCGAGUCUUUUAAUUUUGAAGAAUAUGUUCAAUUAACCCUACAGUCUACUUACAAAAGAAUUAAUAGGCGUACUUUUAGAAGGAUAACUAUGAAAAUUUUUUUAGCAAUGAAAUAAAAUUUAAUUAAAAAUUUUUUAUCUUAAAUUCAAAAGUUUCAUUAACUUCUGAUAAUUGAUCAACAUCGGUAGGUAGUAAUUGUUUUAUUUUUAUUACUGCUCAUUAUAUUGAUAAUGAUUAAAAUUUAAAUAAACAUAUUUUUGCUUUUUGUGCUUUUGAUUUUUCAUAUUCUGGACAAUAAAUUUCAAAUAUUAUUUACCAAACGGUAUGUUUAUUUGGAAUUAAUGAUAAAAUCAUGUCUAUUACUUUUGACAAUGCAUCUAAUAAUAAUUCUGCUGUUAUAUUAUUGAAAGACUCAUUGCAUCUCAUUUUAAAUGGCCAGUUGUUACAUAUUAGAUGUGCAUGUCAUAUCUUAAAUCUUUCUGUACAAGUUGGCAUGGGCAUGGUCCAAGAUGUAAUUUUAAAAAUUAGAAAUAUACUUUUUUUUAUUCAUGCUUUAAGAGCAAGACUUCAAGAAUUCAAGCAACUAUGUGUAGAUCAUGGUAAACGUUUUAAAAAAUUUAAACUAGAUGUAAUGACUUGUUGGAAUUCAACAUAUACCAUGAUAUAUGAUGCAUAUCCAUAUAGACACUUAUUAAGUGCAUAUAUUAAUGACCGUGGAUUAAGUUUUGUAUUGAUUGAAACUGUUUGGACUAAAGAUAAAAUUUUGAAAGAUUUUUUGGUUACUUUUUAUAAUGCUACUAACGUUCUUUCUGGUAUUUAUUAUCCAACUUCAUAUUCAUUUUUAUAAUAAGCAUUUGAUAUUAAUAGGAAAUUUGUAGAAUAUAGAUUUGAUGAUGUUUUAAUGCCUAUUAUUUAACAAAUGAAAUCUAAAUGGAAUGAAUAUUGGAACAGGGUAUGUCCUAUGCAUAAUUAGCUGCUGUAUUUAAUCCACGAGUUAAAUUGAGUGGCAUGCUAAUUUUACUUGAUGCAUAUUAUGAAAAUAUGAUACUGGAUCCUGAAUCCGUUAAAGCUGAGGUAACAAAACUUAUUUAUGACAUUUAUGCAUUAUAUGAUGAAAAAAUUCGUGGAUCUAGAUUACUAGCAUAAAGCUCUAUCGCUUCUUCUAGUAGUUCUCGUUCAUCAUCUGUUUUUAGUUUUAUUCCACAUAGGAGAUAGACACAUGCUUCAAGUUCAUCUGCAUCUUCUUCAUCUGCUUUAAGUAGUGAACUAGAAUUUUAUUUACGAAAUGAUCUUCAUUCUACAUAUGAUGAAAAUCAAAUAGAUAAUCUAGAUUUGUUAACUUGGUGGAGAAAUGUUGAAAAUCAAUAUCCUAUUUUAUCUGCCAUUGCACGUGAUAUUUUAGCUGUGUCGAUGUCCACGGUAGCAUUGGAAUCCGUUUUUAGUGUAGGUCGGCAUGUUCUUGACGAAAAGAAAAGUCGGAUGACCAGCGAGACGGUGGAGAUGCUGCUCUGCUUCAAAGAUUGAUUGGAUGUGGAGGCAAGACUUUAAGAUAAAGGUGGACAUUCUAUUACAUCCUCUGAUGAAGACGACACAAAUGAGACCGACAAUUAGUAGGAUUUUAAUCACGCUAGCAUAGAAAAGCGAAAAGCAGAGAGAGGAUUUUGAAGGAGUUCAAUGAGAGCAGAGACAAGCUGAUAUGAUUUUAUCUAUUUUUUUUAGUAAUUGUAUUAAGUUUUUUAAUUGUUGAGGUGAGUCACUUCUAUAAUUCUAUUUCUUCUCUCCUUCAUUGUACUCUGAAGGUCAGGUCUAGCCCCUCUCCCUUCCUGUACCAUUUUGAUAUUGAUUAAUAAACUGGUAGAGAUCCACGCCAAACCCCCAUGUAACAAGGUGGUUUUAUAUUUAAAUCCCUUGUCUCUAACAUUUUUUUUAAUUUAUUCAUGCAUAUUUUUAAAAAAAUUUUAAAAAAUCCUAAACGGGUCGUGCCAUGGCACGACCUAUUUCAAGAGGGUCGGGCUGGCAUGCGGGCCGUGCGGUGCCUGGCCCACGGGCCGUGCCGGUCCAAGCCCUUAUGGGCUGUGCUGGGCCUGGGCCGCAGGUUAAAAAAUCCCAGCCCACCUCGACCCCCCUUUUAUGGGCCGUGCCAAGCACGGCACGGCACUAUAGCCGAUGGGCCAUGCCUGACACGGCCUGUCUCGUGCCGGGCCAUGCGUUGCCCAUCUCUACUCAUCCUGGCUAUCAUGAGUAGGAACUAUCUAGAAUAGGACUCUCUUUGCCACUUGAGUAUCAAAAAUAUGGUCACCAAUGUAGUAUUCCAACUCCUCCUUUGAGGGCAGAAAAAAUCAUAGAUCCACAUGGACUCUUCAGACUUUAUGCUGAUGAAGGUUGGCUAGUGACUCAGCAGGAGGUCAACAAUCCAUAGGUCCCACAGAAAGUCCACAGUCUAUCCAUCUCUUACCAACCAUUUGACCUGAGCCAUGACCAUUGGAGCAUGAGAGCAAAUUUUCCUCCAAAUGAAUGAGCUACCUUGACUAGUCUGAAUAUUAGUGGAAGUUCACGAGCCAUACUUGGCACUCAUCAUCAUGCUCAAAAAAUUUUUGGACUAGAGAAGAAACCAUGCAGCAUGUCUGGCAAUCAGAGCUUCGCAUCUGACUAACAAAAACUAAAUGUCAAAAUCCUCAUCAUUAAUCGUUGACAAAUCACAUCUCGUGCCUCGAGAUGCACACCACCUUAUCUUCUAUGUGAUCCCCAUAAGAAACUUUUGAACAACUAUUUGAGCUUCAUCGAGAAGGUCUUUGACAGGCCUCACUAGCAUAACCUGCCCAUCAUAAACAACGAUCUGGCCUACUAACCCUCAAGACGCUCUCGAAUCGAUAACUCCACUCUUGAACACUCCGUCCUCUACAGUCUCGCUCCAUAAUGGGGAUGCCCAGUUAUUGCCAAAUCUCGCUUUGCUCCAUAAUGCCCAACUGCUCCCUAAUUGUAUGCUUCAACUAAGUCUUAGUCUUUGGGCUGAAGUACAUAGUAGAUUUAAGAAGAUUCACCUUCUGCCUAGAAGCAAAGCUGUACUCCAAGAUCCUUGUGAAGCCAACUGCAUUUCGGAUAAAUGCCAGACCCCCUAUAAAACAAUCAUAUGUAGAGCAAGUGUGAGAUCGGGCCCUUGGAGCCAGCACAUAGGGAUCUAUGCCCGCCCCAGGGUUGCAGUCCAUAAGGCACGGGAUAGAGCAUCAAUAUAAAUGAUAAACAAGUAGGGGAUAGAGAGCAAUUUUAACGAAGCCCAACUAUAGAGUGGAAGAAAUCCGUUAGGAUGCUGUUGAUCAGGACGGCAAAUGCCAGAGCAUGGAUGCAUCUCAUGAUCUAGUUGAUCCACUAGCUGUGGAAGCCAAAGUCCUCCAGAGCCUGCGAAAGAAAUUGCCAACUCAUGCGAUCAUAU
rnacentral:lncRNA from 1 species